rnacentral:rRNA from 5 species
GGUUGACCUCGGAUCAGGUAGGGAUACCCGCUGAACUUAAGCAUAUCAAUAAGCGGAGGAAAAGAAACCAACCGGGAUUGCCUCAGUAACGGCGAGUGAAGCGGCAAGAGCUCAAAUUUGAAAUCUGGCCCCCUCGGGGUCCGAGUUGUAAUUUGCAGAGGAUGCUUCGGGUGCGGCCCCCGUCUAAGUGCCCUGGAACGGGCCGUCAUAGAGGGUGAGAAUCCCGUCUGGGACGGGGUGUCCGCGUCCGUGUGAAGCUCCUUCGACGAGUCGAGUUGUUUGGGAAUGCAGCUCUAAAUGGGUGGUAAAUUUCAUCUAAAGCUAAAUACUGGCCGGAGACCGAUAGCGCACAAGUAGAGUGAUCGAAAGAUGAAAAGCACUUUGAAAAGAGAGUUAAAAAGCACGUGAAAUUGUUGAAAGGGAAGCGCUUGCGACCAGACUCGCCCGCGGGGUUCAGCCGGCAUUCGUGCCGGUGUACUUCCCCGCGGGCGGGCCAGCGUCGGUUUGGGCGGCCGGUCAAAGGCCCCCGGAAUGUAGCACCCUUCGGGGUGCCUUAUAGCCGGGGGUGCAAUGCGGCCAGCCUGGACCGAGGAACGCGCUUCGGCACGGACGCUGGCAUAAUGGUCGUAAACGACC